CAGCUGAUCGGCGUUAGGACUGAUAAUUGGCGUUGCAGUUCAUUCAGUCUGUACUCACGCUCAACCCGGUGUGCAGCCACUUGGUGCAGGGCCAGUCCUAGGAAUUCUGGGCCUCCCCCUGAAAGAGUAUCGUUCUGGGCCUCUCCACCCAAUGUUGAUGCGUGGAUUUUUCUUCCAAGAUGCAGCAGGAACUCUGGAGGCUAAGGUGCAGGUUUUUCUUGGCACUCCAAGGCAUGUUGUGUCAAGCCAUCAACUUUUCCUGCCAGUUGGGCGCCGUGCACUCCCCACGGUUAGUGAUUGAUGACUACGGCGUGAACACAGCCACUGAGGAGCACUCCUCGUGCUGACCAACACUAAACACUCCAGGAUGUCAUACCACUAAUGUCAAGACAAGAGGAAGACGCUGAUUUUCUUUUACCUUGAUAAAGUGAUAUUAGGCACACGUAAAUUGGGGAAAGGUACAAAAUGUUAGCUGAACUGAAAGACGACUGAGAUCAUGUUCACACACGUACAGUUAUCUUGAAAAUGCAUGUUUCUAUUCGCGUACGUUUUUGUCCUUCAAAACUGAGCUUUUUUUUUAAGAAGAUCUUGUUUGUAUGCGAACAGGCAAAACUAAUGUACCGUACUACUGUAAUGUAAUGGAGGUGUACCCAUUGAAGAACCAGGUUAUCAUAGGCAACGUUAUCACAGCAUGGUAUGAUGCCUUGUUUGAAUUUUGUGUUGAAUCCCAUGUUUUAAAUAUUCAUUCACAUCAAUAAAAACAACAAUAAUUUUCUAAUGUGAACGGAGUGGAACUGACCUACAUGUGUUGAGUUGAGUUGAAUUUAAAGGGGAACAUUAUCACAAUUUCAGAAGGGUUAAAACAAAAAAAAUCAGUUUCCAGUGGCUUAUUUUAUUUUUCGAAGUUUUUUUCAAAAUUUUACCCAUCAUGGAAUAUCCCGAAAAAAGGCUUUAAAGUGCAUGAUUUUCGCUAUCUGUGAAGCCACCGUCCAUUUUCCUGUGACGUCAUCCAGUGAUGCCAAUACAAACAAAAUGGCGGAUAGCACAGCAAGAUAUAGCGACAUUAGCUCGGAUUCAGACUCGGAUUUCAGCGGCUUAAGCGAUUCAACAGAUUACGCAUGUAUUGAAACGGAUGGUUGGAGUAUGGAGGCAGAUAGCGAAAACGAAAUUGAAGAAGAAACUGAAGCUAUUGAGCGAAUAGCUAUUGACGCUAUUCGGCGAGCGCCUUCUAACCAACGAUUGAGUGCCAUAUCUGCCUUAGAAUCGCCAGUAAAAUGUGCAGACCAAACGAUCGGGACUUUUGCAUCUUGUGACACUGGAGCAACUUAAAUCCAUCUAUUGGUAAGUGUUUGUUUGGCAAUAAAUGUGGGUGGAGGGAAAGGCUGGAUGCAAAUAUAG